rnacentral:rRNA from 1 species
UACGUAGGUGGCAAGCGAUACUCGGAAUCACUAGGCGUAAAGCGCAGGUAGGCGGUGCGAUAAGUCUCUUGUGAAAGCUCCCGGCUUAACUGGGAGAGGUCAAGGGAAACUGUCGUGCUCGAAUGUGGCAGAGGAAACUAGAAUUCCCGGUGUAGCGGUGAAAUGCGUAGAUAUCGGGAGGAAUACCUAUGGCGAAAGCAGGUUUCUGGGCCGUCACUGACGCUGAUCUGCGAAAGCUAGGGGAGCAAACAGG